GAUGAACGCUGGCGGCGUGCUUAACACAUGCAAGACGAGCGAGUGAGUUCUUCGGAACGAUCUAGCGGCGGACGGGUGAGUAACACGUGGGCAACCUGCCUCAUAGAGGGGAAUAGCCUCCCGAAAGGGAGAUUAAUACCGCAUAACAUCGUUGAAGGGCAUCCUUCGAUGAUCAAAGGAGUAAUCCGCUAUGAGAUGGGCCCGCGGCGCAUUAGCUAGUUGGUGAGGUAACGGCUCACCAAGGCGACGAUGCGUAGCCGAGCUGAGAGGGUGAUCGGCCACAUUGGGACUGAGACAAGGCCCAGACUCCUACGGGAGGCAGCGGUGGGGAAUAUUGCACAAUGGGGGAAACCCUGAUGCAGCAACGCCGCGUGAGUGAUGACGGCCUUCGGGUUGUAAAGCUCUGUCUUUGGGGACGAUAAUGACGGUACCCAAGGAGGAAGUCACGGCUAACUACGUGCCAGCCGCCGCGGUAA
rnacentral:rRNA from 1 species